rnacentral:rRNA from 1 species
GAUCAUGGCUCAGGAUGAACGCUGGCGGCGUGCUUAACACAUGCAAGUCGAGCGAAGCGCUUAAGUUUGAUUCUUUGGGUGAAGACUUUUGUGACUGAGCGGCGGACGGGUGAGGUAACGCGUGGGUAACCUGCCUCAUACAGGGGGAUAACAGUUAGAAAUGACUGCUAAUACCGCAUAAGACCACGGUACCGCAUGGUACAGUGGUAAAAACUCCGGUGGUAUGAGAUGGACCCGCGU